rnacentral:rRNA from 1 species
GCAAGUCGAGCGCGCCCUUCGGGGUGAGCGGCGGACGGGUGAGUAACGCGUGGGAAUAUGCCCUUCUCUAAGGAAUAGCCUCUGGAAACGGAGAGUAAUACCCUAUGUGCCCUUCGGGGGAAAGAUUUAUCGCCUUUGGAUUAGCCCGCGUUGGAUUAGGUAGUUGGUGGGGUAAUGGCCUACCAAGCCUACGAUCCAUAGCUGGUUUGAGAGGAUGAUC